GUGUCAGCAGCCGCGGUAAUACAGAGGUCCCAAGCGUUGUUCGGAUUCACUGGGCGUAAAGGGUGCGUAGGUGGUGAGGUAAGUCGGAUGUGAAAUCUCCAAGCUCAACUUGGAAAUGGCAUUGGAAACUACCUUGCUUGAGGGUUUGAGGGGGGAUUGGAAUUCUCGGUGUAGCAGUGAAAUGCGUAGAUAUCGAGAGGAACACCAGUGGCGAAGGCGAAUCCCUGGAAAACACCUGACACUGAGGCACGAAAGCUAGGGGAGCAAACAGGAUUAGAAACCCUAGUAGUCC
rnacentral:rRNA from 1 species